rnacentral:rRNA from 1 species
UACCAGCUCUCCGAGUGGUAGGGAUGUUUAUUGGGCUUAAAGCGUCCGUAGCCGGCUUAGCAAGUCUCCUGUUAAAUUCAGCGACCUAAUCGUUGAGCCGCGGGAGAUACUACUAGGCUAGGAGGCGGGAGAGGUCAACGGUACUUCCGGGGUAGGGGUGAAAUCCUAUAAUCCCGGGAGGACCACCAGUGGCGAAGGCUGUUGACUAGAACGCGCUCGACGGUGAGGGACGAAAGCUGGGGGAGCGAACCGGAUUAGAUACCCGGGUAGUCCCAGCUGUAAACGAUGCGAGCUAGGUGUUGGGGUGGCUACGUGCCACUUCAGUGCCGCAGGGAAGCCAUUAAGCUCGCCGCCUGGGGAGUACGGCCGCAAGGCUGAAACUUAAAGGAAUUGGCGGGGGAGCACCACAAGGCGUGAAGCUUGCGGUUU